rnacentral:rRNA from 1 species
AUCUACAGGCACACCACCCUGAACAUGCCCAAUCUCGUCUGAUAUUGGAAGCUAAACAGGGUUGGGCCUGGUUAGUAAUUGGGUGGGAGAAGCCUUACCUGUUCAUA